UUGAACUUGCUGUUGAAGGACCUAAAUUUAAAUUAAACCUUUAAAUGCAAUAACUUCUUUUCAAUUUUGGUACUGCUUGGAGAUAAUGGAGCUCUUAAGUGGAAUGAAUUUGAUUCACAAGUACAGCAAUUGUUCCUUCAAUUGGCGAUGUUUCCCACAGUAUAUGUUUUAUUCUUUCAAAGUUUAAUCAAUAAGCUUAGUGAGUUGCCUCUUUCUCACCUGUUUCUUAUAUACAACGUUCUCUAGUUUCUAGAUUUGUGGGGCUUUUUGUUUGACAUCAGGAUUGUAGGUGUGGACAUAAUUGUGUCAGAUGCAUAUUUUAUUAAUUUCCUGGCAAGAGAAAUGAUUUUAAACAUCAAGCUACGAAUCUCAGGAAAUGAUGUGUUUAAUAAUAAACGGACAUUAUCCCAGGUAUUCACGUGACCGGAUUCACAUCUCUCAGAUUUAGUUAACACGCUUUAACAGUGCGACUAAAAGGACCUGCACCCAGAGCUUGCAAGCCAGUGCCCUGCUCAUCCCUGCACCAGCGUGGAGGAAUAGUCACCAAAGGUGGGGAUUGUCUUCAAGAUCCAAUCAGCCAGAAGGUCCGUCUCCCCAGCCUUGCAGAAGUCAAGACCACUUGCCUACUUGCGACUGGGCUUCUGGUGGCUGCCCACGUUCUUGGCUUGUGGCUGCAUCACUCCAGUCUCUGUGACCACAGGCCUUCUCUUGUGUCAUCACGUCGCCUUCUGCUUCCCUAUUAUAAGAACACACCUGACUAUAUCUAGAGUUCACCCAGAUAAUCCAAGAUAAUCUCCCCAUCUCAUGAUCCUUAAUCGUAUCUUCAGAAUCCUUUUUAAUAUAUAAGUUCUAGUUAGGUAAAAACAUAGCUCUCUAGCAGUUUGCUGCACAUUUCCUGUGAAGUGAAGAUUCUCCUUUCUUAAUGAAGAGCAGCUCAUAUAUGAUGACAAAACAGAGGCAAGAGAGCAUAUGUUGGAGUACCUGGCAUUCUAUGUCAUGAGAGAAUGAACCAGAAUGGGGCAUAUGCUUCUAACCUGAAGACAAGACUGCAGAACUGACUAUAUACACAGUCCUGUGUCACUUAAAGACAGGGAUACAUUCUGAGAAAUGCAUCAUGAGGCAGUUUCAUCAUUGUGCGAAUAUCGUGGAGUGUCCUUACACAAAGCUAGACGGUAUACACCUACUACAUACCUAGGCUCUAUGGUAUAGCCUGUUGAUCCUAGGUUACAAACCUGUACAGCAUGUUACUGUACUCAAUACUGUAAGCAUUUAUAACACAAUGGUAAGUAUUUGUGUAUCUAAAGAUAUCUCAAGAUAGAAAAGGCACAGUAAAAAUAUGGUAUUAUAAUCUUAUGGGACCACCAUUUUACAUUCAGUCCAUUAUUGACCAAAGCAUCAUUAUGCAGUGCAUGACUGUAUUUGUGUAAGGAACUUUAAAAAUAAAAAGGUAUUUUUGGAAACUGAGAUUAAAAGAGGGAUCAUAAAGUGCUGAAAGGACUCCUGUUUGAACCCUGAAAUUUCUCUAGCACUGUUCCUAAACUUUUGGGGUCACUGGCCAGUUAAUAACUGUAGGAAAACCAGACAGCGUGUACCUUCUAAAUGUACCUACACAUGAAAUUAUGCAUACAAUUUUGGGGAUUCACAGAAAAGUCCUUAAAGGUCUAUCCAUGUGAUUGCUCUCAGUAUGUAUGAGAACACCUGGCCUGAGUGAAAAUUCUCCAUCAGGAGGCUUCUCCCCAUAGCGAACAUGGAGUUAGAGGUUGAAGGCUGAGGAGGAGUUCUGUAGGUAGAAAAGAGAGAAAGAGGCCAGGCGCAGUGGCUCAUGCCUGUAAUCCCAGUACUUUGGGAGGCCAAAGUGGGCAGAUCACUUAAGGUCAGGAGUUCGAGACCAGCCCGGCCAAUACGGUGAAACCCCGUCUCUACUAAAAAUACAAAAAUUAUCUGGGCAUGGUGGCACAUGCCUGUAAUCCCAGCUAUUCAGGAGGAUGAGGCACAAAAAUUGCUUGAACCCAGGAGGCGGAGGUUGCAGUGAGCCGAGAUUGCACCACUGCACUCCAGCCUGAGUGACAAGAGUGAGACUCGGUCUCAAAAAAAAAAAAAAGAAAAAGAAAAAGGAAAGAGAGAAAGACAUUGCAGUAGAGGGGAUUUCAUGGAUGAAGUUACAGAAGGGUGAAAGGGAAUAGUGGAGUGGUCUCUGGGGAAGAGCGAAGGGGCUGGGACUAGAUGAAGAACAGUUUUUUAUGCCAUGCUAAGGAGUUUCACUUUGUCUUUAGAUAGUAUCAAAGUGCUCAGAUAUUUACAGCGGAAUGAGGCUAAUGGAGGUCUUGAAGCACCUACUAGAGUUAUAACGAGAGCAGCUACAUUUUAUGAUGUAUAUAUAAGAUUUGGUUUGAAUUAUAUAGCUCUAAAAUGUUGGGAAAAUGUUAUAAGCAAUAGACACCAGAGAAGAAUUUUAAACAGGAGAUUGACUUGAGCCCAUUUGUAUCUGAAAAGAUGCCUAAAGCACAAGAACGCCAGUGAGGAAGUCCGUAUGAGUCACAUCUCUAGCUCAGCACUGUCCAUACUUUCUGCAACGAUGAGAGUGUUUUGCGUCUGUGCUGUCCCAUGCAGAAGCCACUGGCCACACGUGUCGACCGAGCUCGAAGUGUGGCCAGAGUGAUGGAAGAGCUGAAGUUGUAAUAUUAUUCAAUUGUAAUUAGUUUAAAUUGCUAUGUAUGGCUACAGCUACUAUUUUAGGCAGUGCAACUCAUUGGUCUUCUGUCUCCACAAAGGAACGUAGCCCUACUCAUACCUUGAUUGUAGCACACGGAGACCUGUGUUAGGCUUCAGACCUGUAGAACUGUAAGAUGAUGCAUUUGUAUCAUUUUAAGCCCACUGUGUUUGUGGUAAGUAGUUACGGCAGCAGUAGAAAAGUGAUGCAGUUAUGAAUCUGGAAUGGCAUCAUUAAAGGGGCUUUUGGCAAACAUUAUUUCAGGUUAAAAGUUACCAACUGAGCUAAUUUUUUGAAAAAGUUUAUUUUUUUUAUUAUCUGAGUAGUAUAUGGGCGUUAGACAAAAUUUGGAGAAAGCACAGGACACUAUAAAGAGGAAGAAAGCCCUUUUCAGAGGUAGCUAAUAAUGUUUGGAUAUAUUCUCCCUAGUUUUUUCAUUGUAUUUUUAUAGUGGACAUGAUAAAGAGCUAACAGUUAUUGAGUGAUUAUUAUGUGUUAGUCCCUGUUCUAAAUACUUCACUGAUAUUAACUCAUUUCAUCCUCAUUACAAUCUAUGAUGUAGGCAUGGUCUUCCCAUUUCCCAGAUGAAGAAACUGAAGCAAAAAGAUACAUCACUGGCUUAUCUGAUUAGACACAGCAGAGUAAGGCAUCUGCCCCAGGCAGUAAGUUUCGGAGCAAGGAUGAAUUCUAUGGUAUACUGCCCAUAUUCUGAAUAUAUGACUUUUAAUCUUGAUUCCUUUCACUUAACCCUUUAAAUUCAAAAAUUUCUCAUGUUAUUAACAACUCUUAACUGUGGUUUGCAGAUCGUGUAGGUGGUACAAGUGUCACCAUUUUCUUUUUGCCACGUUUAUGCCAAAAAUUAUAAUGACCUCUUUGUCAUUGAGAAGAGGUAUGUUAGAAAUAGAAACUCUUUAGCUUAAAAAUGAAUUUUAGCAUAAUGCUAGUUUAUUAAUAGAGAUGGAGGGUGUGGGAGCAAGUGUCAGAUACAUUUGUAAAGUUAUUUACUUGGAACUUGAAGCUAAUUUUUCUGGAAAGUAAUAUGAUACAUAACUGGACCUUCAGUAGCCCCCAUCUUCCCACAUGCCUAUUUUCCCUGCAAAGUAAUGGAAACAGUAAAUGCUGUUAGUAUGUUGAGGUUCAACCCAAGAGCUUAUGUAUAAGGGAAAAAAAAUACCCCCUGGGGAGUGCAACUAUAAAAUUAGUAUAAAAUUGAUCAGAACAGUGAUAUGCAAAGUUACCUUUAAGAAGCAAAAUAGCUUUGGGGCCUGUAAGAAUGUUACUCAAAGAAGGGAAACUCAGUUCUUAGCCCUGGAAGAACUGAGAAAUUAGCCCCUUGAACAACCAUUGGCAGCAUCCCCAGGUGGUACUACGUAUUGUAGAGGGAGCUUUAGCCAAUGACUGCUGAAAGAUCUGUCUCUCUGGAAAAUAGAUGCAUCAGCCUGUUUUAGGGAGUGUAGCUAAAAUCAGCUAACUCUCUUGUUUUAUUUGCAUACUCGCCUAAUAACUUCUGGUUAAAAUUGGGCUUCUUAUAUAGGUCUACAGGGAGACAUUUCUCUGGUUUUGUUGCCACAACUAUUACAGCUCUGUCAUAAUUAUGUUUAUUAUUGUAAAAUUAAAAGAUAGGUGUUGCAGUUCUAUAAAUGUUUCCUGAGUUUGAUUAAUUCAAAUGUACCCCUUGAGAGAUGGGUCCAUUCUUAGCAAGCUGACAAAAUCAGACCUCAAGCAGAGCCUGUGAUCUGAAGGUCAGGCCCUGAACUGGGUACCCCCCGGGUAGCCUGGGUCUUCCCCUUGCUUCACCUCCUCUAACGUUAUCAUUGGCCAAAGCUAGGCUCCUAUUAUUAUUU